rnacentral:lncRNA from 1 species
AUGAUCAUCAGGGCUGCUGUAAAAUUGAAUCUCCAGUCCACAGCCAGACAGAAUUAUCCUCUCUUCUGCCCCAUGAUUAGCAGCAGCAGGGAUGUUUAUGCCUACAAAGUUUUUCUUUUGUUCCUAACUAAAUUCCCCUUUUCAAGUGAGGCACAUUCCUCCUCUUGUUUUGACAUUAUGUUUCUUGUUGUUCUGAUCUAUAUUUCUGUUUGGAUGCCAUCUUUCCUCCGCCGUAGACCUGUCAGCACAUUUAACCACUGGUUGGUCAGCUACUGCAUGCGAGAAUGUGUUGGGCAACUUGUCUCUUUUUUCUCUGUGCGUGGCGCGCAUCACAGCAUGGCGCAUCCAUUGGCGCAUUUGGAGAGAAUGCAUCCUCUUGUGCAAAAAGAAGCUCUUCUUGAAACGCAUCUUCUGCUUUCAGAAGGGGCAGCACCAUGGACGUCUUUAGGAUUAGGUGUUUUUCCAGGAAAUACUACCCAGAGCAACUCGGACCGAUGCAGCUCAGCCCAACCACUGUUUCCGAGGGCACAGUUGGGUAUUCUCCCUCUGCUUUCAUCCAUAUUUUUAGUCCCUGCUCCGUUGAGGUACCUGGCAAGGCUGAGGCCCUGUCCACACGUAGCCGGGGAUCUGCCAAAACGUAGAUAUUUUUCUACGUUUUGGCCUGUCAUCCCCACGAAAACGGAUCUUUAUAAAAACUCCGGCCAAAGUGAAGAUCUGUGUUUUCUCCGUUUUGGGUGUCUGCGUGUGGACAGACAAAACCGGAGUUUUAAGGUCCGCAACGUCACUUUCCACGACAAAAAAAUGCUGACAUCACGUGUGCGACCUGUGUUUACACUAGCCGACAGCAUGGAUGCCCUCAGAGCUGCGCUCGCUUUAUCAAUUGUCCAAGCGCUUUUUGCUUGUUUGUUUUUGCAAGCGGAAUUACUGCUCCUUGCGGAAGACCACAGACGAAGGACGAGGUUAAGAACGGGGGAAGUACUGCCGCCUACAGGUCUGGCAUGUCCUUAA